UUGAUGUACAUUAUACAUAACUACGUUCAGUGUAGCUACAUAUGUACAGUAAGAGUGAGACCUAUCAGCUAGUUGUUAAGGUAAUGGCUUAACAAGGCAAUAACGGGUAACGGUAUUACUUUGUAAUAUUCCGGAGAAGGAGCCUGAGAGACGGCUACUAAGUCUAAGGAUUGCAGCAGGGGCGAAACUUGACCUAUGGAUAUUAUCUGAGGCAGUUAUGGGAAGUAACAUAGUUGUUUCACAUUUUAAACGCCCCCC
rnacentral:rRNA from 1 species